rnacentral:rRNA from 1 species
AUACGGAGGGUGCAAGCGUUAUCCGGAAUCAUUGGGUUUAAAGGGUCCGUAGGCGGACUAUUAAGUCAGAGGUGAAAUCCCACAGCUCAACUGUGGAACUGCCUUUGAUACUGGUAGUCUUGAGUUAUAUGGAAGUAGAUAGAAUGUGUAGUGUAGCGGUGAAAUGCAUAGAUAUUACACAGAAUACCGAUUGCGAAGGCAGUCUACUACGUAUAUACUGACGCUAAGGGACGAAAGCGUGGGGAGCGAACAGGAUUAGAUACCCGAGUAGUCC